UCGCGCUGCCAGCAGCUUCCGCCUGCUACGGUCCUGGCAAGCACCUCGGGAUCCCAUUCCUUCACAGGGACCCUAGCCAGUUAAAGCUGAUACAUUCCUGUGGGUCAACUAUGCAACUAACUCAGAUUUUGAGCAAACAAAGCUCUCAAGUUGGUGAUCCUCAGGAGUCUCUGCAUUAGUUGGACAGCUCUUCUGGAAUUAUCUUCUAAGUCAACUGUGGGUUGGGUAGGUGGCUCUGCUGAUUUUUCGCUGGACUUCCACAUUUGGGACGAGUUGGCUGUCAUCAGCUCUAGAAAGGGUGUGGCCGUUUUACAUUGGCUGUUUUCCUCACAUUCCUCAAGCAGGUACUGUAAUAAAGAACUGGAGAAAUACAGUCAGAUGGGAAGUAGCCCUUGCUGUCAAGGAGCUUGCCAUCUAAUGGGGGAGACAGGCAAGUAAACCAAAGACUACACAGUGCAGUAUGGUAAGUGCCAUGAUUUUGAUGUGACAGGGCACAGUGGACGACCUUCCAAAUCAAAGCAAGUAACUAGGGGUUGACAAUGGUAAGUAUCAUAGUUGAAGUAUCCUUGAACAAGGUUUCAGGAAGAAGAAGAAGGGAAUUUCAUGCAGGGAAACAGCCAAAGCUCAGUGAGUCAAAAUAUCACAGCAUUCUUGCCGUUCCAGUACAACUCCUAUACUUGCCAUCUUUCCAAGCCCAAAGGUACAUCCAGCUGAUGGAAGGAGCAUCUUGGUGUUAAUAUUCUUUUAGUCAUGGUCUCUGAAAGUAAAAUGUCUAUUCUUCUAAUUCUGGCACAAUCUUAUCUAGCUAUAGUUCCUCAUGGUCCUGCACUCCAUGGACUAAAUUGUAAGUAUAAUUACUACCAAUGUACUCUAUAAAUAACUUUUGGGGCCAGGGUGGCAAUAGUUGCUAGAGAGAAAAAAAAAAAAAAGGAAGGAGAAGAAAACAGUGAUAGUUCUUAUUUUAAAAGGAAAAAAAGAGGCAGGAGGCUCUCUUGAGGCCAGGAGUUUAAGACCAGCCUAGGCAGCAUUUCAAGACCCUGUCUCUACUAAAAAGUAAAAAAAAAAUUUAGUCAGGCAUGGUGGCAUGCACCUGUAGUCGUAGCUACUCAGGAGACUGAGGUGGGAGGAUUGAUUGAGCUCAGGAGUUUGAGGCUGCAGUGAGCAAUCAUCAUGCCAUUGCACUCCAGCCUGGGCAUCAGAGCAAGACCUUGUCUUUUAGGAAAAAAAGGCAGGGAAGAGGAAUAGGUAAUUUUUCAGUGUUCAGACAUUCCAGCAAUAUGUGUGGAGUACUCAUUCUCACUACAGUUUAUGAGGCCAUAGCUAGUAUGUAUGACUACCCAUCCAAGUUUCCCUGCUUACAGUUACUAUUCCAACUGAUUGGGGGGCUUUUCCUAAUAGAGUGAUUUAAGCCUUCAUUUUUAGACAUCUAAGCCCUUGGUGAUCAUCAGCAUAAAAUGUGACAAAUUAAACAAAAGCAAGACAGCACAUCAGAGAACAACUCUGAGGUGGAAUGAUUGGGAACCAAUGAAUAGUUGUUCAGUAAAUGGUUUAUAUUUUACAGAUGAUGAAACUGAAACACAAAAAAUUUAGAUUAACUCUUAGGUGACAAAGCCAGGAUUGAAGCUCAUGCGGUCUGGCUCCAGAACAACUCUUCUUCAUAGUUACGUUAUACUGCCCCUGCAUUGUUGGUAUUGAAAAUAACUGAUACCGUGCUUCCAGAAGAUUUUUCUAACAGUGUUUGCAAGCUAUAAAAUAGUGCUUUCACUUAGAAAAGGCUAGACGUGGUGGUUCAUGCCUGUAAUCCCAGCACUUUGAGAGGCCGAGGCACCAUGCUGGGAGAUAAGGAUCCAACAUAAGACAAACAGUGCUGAUGCUUUUGGAAAGCUCAUAUUCAAGCUGGGGAGACAAACAACAUACAAAAACUCACUCUGUCACUCAGGCUGGAGUGCAAUGGCACGAUCUCGGCUCACUGCAACCUCUGCCUCCCGAGUUCAGGAGGGCUCUGAGAGAUUUCAUUUCUGUCCUGCUGAUGAAGUCUACGUUCAUUCAGGGCCUGCUGUGGAAGACCAGCCCCAAAGUUGCUGAACAGAAGACUUUUGAGAGUCAGCAGAAAUCUUCCACUUUGCAUGGUUCUCUUGAUGUGAAAUCAUCUAUAUAGCCCCAGAAUUGGAAAA
rnacentral:lncRNA from 1 species